AACGAACGCUGGCGGCGUGCCUAACACAUGCAAGUCGUGCGAGAAAGUUCCUUCGGGAGCGAGUAAAGCGGCGCACGGGUGAGUAACACGUAGGUAACCUGCCCCCCAGUCUGGAACAACUAGAGGAAACUCUAGCUAAUGCCGGAUGAGACCACGAUCCCUUCGGGGGUUGCGGCCAAAGAUGGCCUCUACUUGUAAGCUAUCGCUGAGGGAUGGGCCUGCGGGCCAUUAGCUUGUUGGUGAGGUAACGGCUCACCAAGGCUGUGAUGGCUAGCUGGUCUGAGAGGAUGACCAGCCACACUGGGACUGAGACACGGCCCAGACUCCUACGGGAGCAGCAGUGGGAAUAUUGCGCAAUGGGACGAAAGCCUGACGCAGCGAC
rnacentral:rRNA from 1 species